rnacentral:rRNA from 1 species
CAGCCGCCGCGGUAAUACGUAGGGUGCGAGCGUUAAUCGGAAUUACUGGGCGUAAAGCGUGCGCAGGCGGUUCGUUAAGACAGAUGUGAAAUCCCAGGGCUUAACCUGGGAACUGCAUUUGUGACUGGCGAGCUAGAGUAUGGCAGAGGGGGGUAGAAUUCUACGUGUAGCAGUGAAAUGCGUAGAGAUGUGGAGGAAUACCGAUGGCGAAGGCAGCCCCCUGGGCCAAUACUGACGCUCAUGCACGAAAGCGUGGGGAGCAAACAGGAUUAGAUACCCGCGUAGUCCCUGUCUCUUAUAC